rnacentral:lncRNA from 1 species
UCCCUUUGUCCCCAUCCCUGUGGAAGUUUGCAGGCAACCCCAACAAGGGAAGAGAUGAGAAGCUUUUCUCCAUGUUUCAAAAGGCUGAUUUAUUAUUUUAUGAUAAAUAUAUUACAUUAGAAGAUACAUAUAUUAUAAGAAAAUAAAAUAAUAUAUUGAAAUUAUACUAAAAGAAUAUAAGAAAAUGUUUCGUCAGAAGGCUAGCAAGGAAUAGCCUUUUUUUUCACCAAAAAAAUCCCGGCAAAGGGAUUUUUCAGAAAAUAUCAUGGCUACACCUUAGGAAAAAAUCCUAGCAAAGGAAUUUUCAGAAAAUAUCAUGGCUACACCUUACUAGCAAAGGAAAUUUUUAGAAAAUAUCAUGGCUACACCUUAGGAAAAAAUCCUAGCAAAGGAAUUUUCAGAAAAUAUCAUGGCUACACCUUAGGGAAAAAAUCCUGGCAAAGGGAUUUUUCAGAAAAUAUGGCUACACCUUAGGAAAAAAACCCUGGCAAAGGAAAUGUGCAGAAAAUAUCGUGGCUGCACUUUAGGACAAAAAUCCUGGAGAAUUUUCAGAAAACGUGGCCCUGCAAUGUCCCCCUCUCCCCCAGGAAUCCUUCUGGCGCAUCCCGGCCGCCCUCACCCCGCAGCAGCUCCGUCGUGCCGCCGCCUCCAUCGCCCACCGCGACCCCCCAGCAUCCCCCCAGACCCUUGCAGAGCCCCCCAGGUGCCCCCAGGAUGGGGCUGCAGAGCCGCUGGUGGCAGCGCUGGGAUCGGACUCGGAGAGUGAGGAGCCUGUCCCUGUCCCCAUCCCUGUCCCCAGCCCGGUGCUGGCGCGCACCAAGAGGCGCCGGGAGCUCGCCAGCGAGGAUGAGGAUGAGGAUGGUGGGAGCUCAGGUGGGUUUGUUAGCGUUCAGAACCACAUAAUCACGAAAAUGAUUAUGAUGGUGCAUUUUAUUAAGAGCUAUGGGAAUCAGGGGUAUUUUCCACCCAAAUCUGACUCUGCCCGUACAUUCCACAGGAUCAUGUUUUUAUAUUCUGUCGCUAUGUAACUUUCAUGUUAAUUAUUAAACUUAUAUUGUUCUAUUGUUUACGUAGAUUUCAGCCAAGCAUAGCCCCCGUUAAAUUUCCAACAUAGUUCCUCAUGAUUCUUCUUAUGAUUAUAUAAUAAUUAAAUAUAAUUGCUAAACAGUCAUCACAUCU